AGUGCUAGCAUUGCAGCUGUAUUUUGCUAAAAGCAGUAAGAAUUGAGGACUUCCCGUGAACAUCUAGUAUGCAAAUGAAUGAAGAGCAGUAUUUGUGGUCCGGAGUAAAACCCUUAAAGAAGAUUCCACACUUCUCUCGAGUACAACAAAGGGGACAGAACGCAUUCCACUCGUGGGAGAAGAACCUCAGGGAUGGGGGCUUUUCUUUCUGUUUUGCCCCGAAGAAAAGAACAACACCUGAAGCUGACCUGCUUCUGAAAAAGAAUAAGACCUUAAAAUGAUUUCCCAACAGUUAAUAAGAACAGUAUAAAAUUAGGAAAAGCCUAAGAAGAAAAUUCUGCGAAUGUCAAUAAGGGGUUAGAGGAAAUGAAUCUGGUCAAGGAAGAAGAAAGCUUUAAGAAAGUUAAUAAUGUCCAAUGAUGAAGAAUCAUGAGAAGGGUUUAAGAAAAG
rnacentral:lncRNA from 1 species